rnacentral:rRNA from 1 species
AAGACCUUGCGCUUUUGGAGCGGCCGAUGCCUGAUUAGCUUGUUGGUAAGGUAAAGGCUUACCAAGGCUUCGAUCAGUAGCUGGUCUGAGAGGACGGCCAGCCACACUGGGACUGAGACACGGCCCAGACUUCUACGGGAGGCAGCAGUGGGGAAUUUUGGACAAUGGGGGAAACCCUGAUCCAGCCAUGCCGCGUGAGUGAAGAAGGCCUUCGGGUUGUAAAGCUCUUUCAGCCGGAACGAAACGGUUACGGAUAAUACCCGUGACUACUGACGGUACCGGAAGAAGAAGCACCGGCUAACUACGUGCCAGCAGCCGCGGUAAUACGUAGGGUGCGAGCGUUAAUCGGAAUUACUGGGCGUAAAGCGUGCGCAGGUGGUUUUGUAAGUCAGAUGUGAAAGCCCCGGGCUCAACCUGGGAACU